AUACCCUGGUAGUCCAUGCCGUAAACGUUGGGCACUAGGUGUGGGGGACAUUCCACGUUUUCCGCGCCGUAGCUAACGCAUUAAGUGCCCCGCCUGGGGAGUACGGCCGCAAGGCUAAAACUCAAAGGAAUUGACGGGGGCCCGCACAAGCGGCGGAGCAUGCGGAUUAAUUCGAUGCAACGCGAAGAACCUUACCAAGGCUUGACAUGAACCGGUAAUACCUGGAGACAGGUGCCCCGCUUGCGGUCGGUUUACAGGUGGUGCAUGGUUGUCGUCAGCUCGUGUCGUGAGAUGUUGGGUUAAGUCCCGCAACGAGCGCAACCCUCGUUCUAUGUUGCCAGCACGUGAUGGUGGGGACUCAUAGGAGACUGCCGGGGUCAACUCGGAGGAAGGUGGGGAUGACGUA
rnacentral:rRNA from 1 species